CCACCAGAGAUCAGUCCAAUGAGGGUGGUGUCAUCCGCAAACUUCAGGAGCUUGACGGACUCGUGACUGGAGGUGCAGCUGUUGGUGUACAGAGAGAAGAGCAGAGGGGAAAGAACGCAGCCUUGGGGGAACCGGUGCUGAUGGUCCGAGAGGCUGAGACAUGUUUCCCCAGCUUCACGUGCUGCUUCCUGUCAGACAGGAAGUCUGUGAUCCACUUGCAGGUAGAGUCGGGCACGUGCAGCUGGGAGAGUUUGUCCUGCAGCAGAGACGGGAUGAUGGUGUUGAAGGCAGAGCUGAAGUCCACAAACAGGAUCCUGGCGUAGGUUCCUGGGGAGUCCAGAUGCUGGAGGAUGUAGUGGAGCGCCAUGUUGACAGCAUCGUCCACAGACCUGUUGAUUCUGUAGGCGAACUGCAGGGGGUCCAGGAGGGGGUCGGUGAGGGACUUCAGGUGGGUCAGGACUAGCCGUUCAAAAGACUUCAUGACUACAGAGGUCAGGGCGACGGGCCUGUAGUCAUUGAGUCCUGUGAUCCUGGGCUUCUUGGGAACAGGGAUGAUGGUGGAGGCCUUGAAGCAGGCUGGUACGUGGCAUGUCUCCAGGGUGGUGUUAAAGAUGUCAGUGAACACCGGAGACAGCUGGUGACAAACAUGACAAAAAUGUGUGUUAACUGCUCCCAAAAUGAGAACUUCAAAAAGUUAAUUUAUUCACUCCAACGUUAACGAUAACUUGAUCUUAACCAACUGGCUAAAAUCAGUUAACGUCAAAUUAAAGGUUUGAACACAGUAACAAAAUCUAGUAGUCUUUUUUACUUAUUAUGGCUCAAUAUUAAAAAUCAUGUUUUAAUUAUGUUGUGCGAGGCUGUGUUGUAUACAGUUAGUAAAAAUGAUUGUAUAGUGACUAAGUUAAUGAUGCUAGGUUGUCUGUGCAUUAACGUUACCUUGCAAAGCAGUAUUAAAAUGCCGCAAAAUACAUCCAUGAUGCAACAUAUUUAACGUUAAUUUACAACUCGAACGUAAUUAACGUUAAUCAUGCACGCCAUGAAACUUUAAACGUGUUUCACUUACACUAGAAGCGGUGAAUCUGUGCAUUUGCAAUUAUUGAGACUGAUCUGACCCCGUCUUGUCAGACCAUGGUCCGAUGCCAGGGCUUCUUGAGGAAUUACAAACAUGCAUGUCAAUACGGGGCCUUAAGAAGAUCUGUGAUGCAGAUUGCACUCGCCAAAAUAAGUGUGAUUAAAUGGAACAAGAGGAACAAAAGGAGGCAUCAAUAAAAAUGUAUAUCCCUAGAACCUGGAGGUAUGUAAAUUUCCUCAGCCGGUUGUUUCCAUAGCAGCUGUUUUUUAUAGUUUGUUUGUUGUUUAGGUGUUUUAUUGUGGACAGAGGUGUACUACAAUACUCAGCGUCCAAGAAGUUUUCACACAAAAACAGAGCUUUACAUUUGCCACGGUAGUGUAAAUGACAUCUCAAACUCAUUAGGUGUUUGCUCCAAAAUCAGCACAGGUGAUAGAUCCUUGUCUCUCUGCCACUUGGGAUUCCUCCUUUACAUGGAUGCGCUAAGUACCCCAGGACUAACUUCUACACCUUAUUGUCAGAUAUACAGCAGUAUACUGUUAUGUAGGAAACUUUUGUCAAUGUAAAGCUUACUGAGCCACAGGACGGUUAUUGACACCUUUACAAUACACAUUUGUAAAGUGUCCAACCAUGUUUCAAUAUGUGUGGCUGGAGUGUGAAAACAGAGAUGAAGUGACCUCAAAUAGCUGAAGAGGCCUAUUAAGCCAUAAGCACAGGAAUUUUUUCUCCACGCUUUAAAUGACUUUGAAGCUUAUUGGGGAUAACACUGCUUUGGGUCCAGACUAAAAUAUCUCAAUAAUAAUCAAGAUAAAAAUAAGAGUCAUGUGUUAUUUGAUUGGGAGCGAGGAAAGGAGUAAACUCACUAUAAACUCACACUCUAGUCUCCUUCCCUUAUCUCGUCUUUCCUUGCUCCCAAACAAAUCCUUGUAAGAGAUAGGUGCUUGUGAGGAAGUGGAGGAGUGUCCAAAAUGAAUGCAUGGUUAUUAUCUGACAAUCUCAGAGUCCUUUCACAGGAAAAGCAUUGUUUCUUACUUCCCUCCCUACUGUUUUCUGCUUCUGAAAAUGAAUAGCAGGAGAUGUUAAGGAAUACCGGCCUCCCUUUAUUUAUCGUAACAGACGACACACUGAUUUUACUUCCUCUGGACAUCGACGGUUAGCCGCCACGCGACUCUUAUUGUUUGUGUCAAAAACACACCCUUUCUACAGGAACCUGAAGGAAAUCUCACAAGUGAAAACAACUAGUGAAUGGGCGGAUCCAGGGACUGGGUCCCUGUUUCUGUCUCCACGGGGUCAUAAUUAGCCAAGAACUGCUGUAAACAACAUACAACCAACCCUAUACUUUCUUUAACAUAUGUACCUAAAUAAUUACAGUAAUAUGUACCUAUUCAAUCAUAUUCUCACACUAUCCAAGCUCCGUUAUUGUAGCUCCAACAGUAAGUUUCGUAAAACAAAGCUAGUCCCUUUAUGAUACAAAAUUUAAAAAAAUAAACCAAACAGAACGAACUAUUUUUAUGGAGGAUUGCAGAGGAUGAUUACAGAGGAAAGACGUUGCUUUGAAGUCUGGUGGUAAGACAGUAGAUACUGUUCCUUGCCAGAAGGCAGCAGGGCAAACAGGGUGAACGGGUUUGGGUUUUUUCUUUUAACAUCCCAAUACUUCUUCUCACCAAUAUCACUGAUACUCAGGGGGCAUUUUUAAUCACCCAAUGAAGAAAAACCUAAAAACAGCAUCUUCUUUGUGUCGUUAUCCAGUCCUGGGUUUACCGCGUGAACAGGAGGGGGUAAACAAUCGGUUUUCACCACUAGAGUGAAGGAGGUGUUCGUAUUGCGUUGGGCUCGAGUUUCUUAGACUUUUUCUUAAACCUCAUUCCAACUAUCAUAGACAAAACAAGUACGAACAAACAAUUGUACCUCUGCACUGAACUCAUCUUAAGCAUUUGGGAAGCAGACUGCUGGGAACGAGGGGUUCAAAGUCUCAGUCAAGGGUACUUUGACAUGCGGACAGUACAGGAGCUAGGUAUCCCAGGGCCAACCUUGUAACAACCCAUUCUACUCACUCAACCACAGACACCCCCUCCCACCCCACCCCCCACCUCCAACCCCACUCUCCUGUGACAGGGAUGUGUUGAAAAGGUCACUGGUGACAUCAAUCGGUUUGUGGCCUCUGAUGGUCUGCAUCACCUGCCAGAUAACUUCAGGCCAUGCCCACACUACACUUUCCAUUUUAAAACAAACAAUAACUGCCAUAACUAUCAAUCUGCGAUCAGUGGCUAAUUAAACACGGACAAGUGAUUAUAGGUAGCUUAGUUGUCUUCACUAGCAGCUGUUGUGCAGUUAAAGUUUGCAUUUCAGCAAAAGGAAGCAGCUGUUGGAGCGAUUAACACAAGGCGUCUCCAGCGGAGUAACCAGCGCUAUGGAUCGGACGUCUAAAGUCACGGUUUGAGGCUCUGAGGAAGACGAUGGACAUAAAUCAAAGGACUUUCCUUAGGAAACAAGUAAUCCGAGAGGAAACGAGUGAGAGAUGCUUGUUACAUUUAGUUGACCAAUAAGAGAGAGCCGCAGUCUGAAAAAUACUAAUUUCGUCUACAGAGGAUUUUUAUCUAUAGACUUUGACAUUAAGUAUCAAGCCCAACCUCUUACUAUCAAACAGUGCUUGCAUUAGUGUGGAUGUAUUCUCAAUGUUGUGUUGUCGUUGUUGAGGUCUCUCUUGAAAAGAAAAGUUAACUCAAUGAAUUUAAGUUCAAUCUUCUACUUUUUGGUCUCCUUCAACUUUUGAAGGUUAUAUCUGUGUCCGUAACUACUAAAGGUUCAGUGUAAAGUGACCAGGCUCUCAAGGCGGCCUCGUCACCUCCCCCUCCCUGCCCUCCCAGCAUCCUCUGGAGCCACAGUGUUGUGAAUGGAACAAGUUUAUUCAGCUAGGGAGCCUAUUACCCCAUGCAUGCUCAAAGGGCUCCGAAAGACCGCCCAACAACCCAUGUCAGCACAUGAAAGUGAUGACUGGGGGCAAAACGUGUAUGUGUGUAUGUGUGUGCACUGUUGGGGAAGGGUGCUUGCACUUGAACUGCAUCCAUUCACACUGGUUAGGGGGUCUUGUGGUCUUUAAUGUGACCAUAGCAGGGCAGAUGACCUCUGCCUUGGCCAGCACCAGAGCCAUAAUCCUUCUCCUUCUAGUCUUUUUCAAUUCUCUACAUCCUUCAUUGUCAAAAGAGGGCUCUGACUUCCCUUUCUUCUCUUCUCUCUGCCCCCCAAAUCGUUAAACAGGCUUCUCACUGGUCAAGGAAUGUUUUGAGGGUCUUUGAAUUUUUUGUGAGGUUGCGUUCAACAUAGAGAAAAGUCAAGGGAGGUAAACAUUUCUGAGGUCAAGGAAUAUUAAGGAUAUUAUUUCAGUGUUUAUUCAAACAUGUUGUCCUACAUUGUAGUUCACUAGUUUUGGGGAGGGGGGGGGUCAGAACAACAAAUUAUUUAUAAUGUGAAAAGACCUGAGGAAAGUCCUGAAAUUUAAAACUCUGAUUCAAAUACAUCCUGUACUCCCCUCUUACUCUCUCUGUCAACACAUCCUGGUGUCUUCCUGAGAACCAACUAGAGUUGAUGGGAUUAAUCAGCCAUGACCAGAAAAAUCUAUACUGACAAAUGUUACUACUACAUUUUGUUAUUCAUUUAGACCCUGAUCGUCAUGUGUACAGAAUAAACACCGUAAAAGAUAUUGAGAGUAGUAAGCCAGGUGUACGGGAGGACACUGUAGGGACAACCAUCAGACAUAACCACCAUCCGCAGAAACUUUUGGUGAGGGAAACUGCAGGAAAGAAGCUAAGCGGGUAAUGUAGGUGUAUGAUGACAGGAAUAGUAAAGUGAUUAAUAUUAGUAAUGAUAGUCAUAGCAGCAGCAGUUGUCAGCAGUGCCAUGGCAGGAGGCAGGACCAGGGUCCAGACAAAACCACGUUCGACAAAAUCACUUGCCAGAAAGCAUAAAAACUCUGGGGAAAAAAUACAUAUUCCAUAUUAUUGAUUGCAUUAAUGAGAUGUCCAUUCUCAAGAAGAGAGAAGAGGAGAGAGGAAGUCGACCGGCAGUCUAGGCCUUUAGCAGCUUAACUAAGGGCUGGUCUGGGCUAACCUGAGCCAGCCCUAACUAUAAGCGAUAUCAAAGAGGAAAGCUUUAUCUUAAAUGAGCUGACCGUGUCUGGCCCCCGGACUGAAAGUGGAAGCUGGUUCCUCAAAGAGGAACUUGAUAACUGAAGGCUCCCAACCUACUUUUGAAGUCUCUAGGAACAACAAGUAACCCACUAUUUAUGUAGAGCAGCUCUCUAGUUGGCCAAUACGGUGUUAUAAGCUGUUUAAGAUAAGACGGUGCCUCCCCAGCAAGUGCCUUGUAGGUGAGGAGAAGAACCUUAAAUUAUAUUCUUGAUUAAACAGGAAGCCAGUGCAGAGAAGCUGAUACAGGAGUAAUAUGAUCCCUUUUCUUAGUUCUUGUUAAGUGCUGCAGCGUUCUGCAUCAACUGGAGAGGCUUAAGAGAUUUAUAAGAGCAGCCUGAUAAUACAGAAUGGCAGUAAUCUAGUCUAGAAGUAACAAACGCAUUAAUUCAUUUUUGUCAUUAUGUUUCUCGCUCGUGAACAGUUUAAAUAAGCAUUUAAUAAUAAAGGAAACAUCUCUGUUUUGGUCCAAAGCCGACGGGUUGACAUAUCAGGGAAGAGCUUGCUGUUACUCUUCAGACCCAAUCAAGUAGUGAACACGGGUGUCUUCUUAAUCGCUCACAAACAUUUCCGGUGUCCCUGACGACUACUACUCCUGGUGGGAGUUUUCAAACUAACACUGUUAAAUUCUGCUUCGUAUCAUUAACUUUAUUUAUUAAUCAGUAUGUACCGUUAGUUUUUAUGAAAUGAGCAGUCAAAAGACAUUUAAAAAACAUGUAUAUGCAUGUGAAUUAGAAGGUUUUUUUUAUUCAAACAAAGUGCAAUUUUAUUCAACAUCAACAAGUAAAGUUGAGGAUAUUUGGGAUGUCACAAUCAAAAUGGUCCGUCACCUUUAGUUUGCAUUGAGAAAGCAACCAUUCAUCUCAGAUUUAGAUUGUAAAUCUUGAUUGUCACCACCUCUGAAAGGUCAGCCGCAUUGUCUCAGUUCAGUGUCCCUAAGUAUUUGGCAGGGAGCUCAGGACUUACUGGAAAUAACUGCAGUCAUGGACAAAGAAAACCCUUUUUAUAUCACUCACAACCCAUAAAUGGUAUAAAGCCUGUGACUUCCAACAAGAAACCCUUAAAACAGAAUAUCCAGGAAUGCAGCUUUGUGUCUUGUAAAAGCAUGUUGGGAUUUCUAGAGCGUGUGUUCAAGGUGGAGUAAGUCACUGUUAAACGUUUAACAAAUAACUAACUUGAAUACUUUUUCACCCAAAAAUUCCCCACGAGCAUCAGGCACAAUGGUAACUGGAAUUACUCAAGUGACAUUGUUUUCAUAUUAAAUUGUUGUUUGGCUAGAAGGACACCCCACCACUUUAUUUACUGGACGGACACUACUGCUGUGAUACUUAACCAUCAUUUUUCAUUUGUAGUUGAUGAACUGUAUUCUUUGAAUUCCUGUCUGAUCUUUGGGACAGUCCCAAUUUUUCUGCUUUGAGAGCAGCUGUCUGCUGGGUGCGGAUGGGGACUGUUUACUUAUGCUGACAUGUCAGUUAGAGCAGGAGAGCGUUAAACCUUCCAGCUAAACAAAGCACUACUUCCCUAAAUGCAAAUGACUUGAGAUUGCGGGUGAGAGCGGGCCAGUUUUUGUGUGUGCGUGCGUUUGUGUGUGUGUUUAAUGUGCUGACUUGGCAGCAAACAAAUGAAACAGGUUUAUCCUCCUCUUACAACUUCUGCAAUGUUUUAUAACGCUUAUCAUCCAAACAAUGGGGGAUCAUGUGAGAUAGGAGGAUCAUACUGGAUAUUUGUAAGGAUGAAUUAAUAUCAUGUUAGUGGAUAUGGUAGCAGUUAGUUGGAUAGCAAUUGUUGGAUACAAACACAACCUUUGGGUUUCUAAAACAACUAUAUUGUUUGGUGUGGAUGAAACUAAUGAGACACUCAUCCAGUCUUUGGUCUAAUGGAGAUUGGGCAGCGGCAUGUCCGGCACGGGUCAUUUUCUUACUGAAGUGUACUGAGGUUAAUAUCUGGUGAAAUAGCAAAACAGACCAACUAUACAAUUGCAAGAUAAUGGUUAUUUGGCAUUUGCAGUUCACCUGGGCUGAACAAUUGUGGGCAAUACCGCUGGGCUCGGGUGCGAUCCUACAUGUGCGGCAGAAACAGUUAGGGGUCUAGACCUGUGGUCCCCAACCUUUUUUGCCUCAUGCACCAUUUUCAUGUUAGACAAUAUUUUGCGGAUCGUUCUUGAAGGUGUGUUGGAUAAACACCCCGAAAUAACCGACCGAGGGGGGUAGUAGUCGUUGCCGACCAACCCGACCAAUGGGGAGAGUUAUAUUUGCGCGCUUUCUGUCUGCUGGUGGGCGAAACUGCCAUGCGCAGUGAGAAGUGGACAAUUGUAAACCUGAAAAAAACUAUUGGGAAAUGUGUCAAGAUGGACGAGGGCAGGUAAUUAGCAAGGAAUAAGGUACAUUUUCAAAAUAAAUCAUUUUUCAGAUAAAAAAGCGUCAGUUCAGGAACCGUACUCCUGGAAAGCAGAUUGACUCUAUUCUACUCUGGAGUCAUGUAUUCUCCAUAACAAACAACAUGUUAGAACAUAAGGAUGCUCAUAAGUGUACUUGGGGCGCCCUAAACCGAAGAUUGAUGAUCCGUUUUUGUAUUGUAUCCUCUGAUCUCAGGCCGCAUGUUUUGCACACUCAAACUUACACUGGUGAACUAAGGGGCGAGGAGGAGUUUUCAACUAAUUACAAUUUGGUGAUGAGUUGGGUCAGAGGAUGGGGAAGACUCAGGAUAGACCUGGAAAUUCAAAAGAGUAGUGUGGGUGAACUGGGAACGUCUAGAGCAGGCCCAGAUCUUCAGCUCACACCUCCGACGGAGCUUCCGUCACAUUCUUGGGGGGCAUUGAACCCGAGGGGUCUUUGUCCAAAACUUCAAUUGCUGUAUUGAGUUGUGGCCCAGAGUUCUGAGGUGCAUUAAAAGCCGGUAACCCUCAAACCCUCUGAUGGUCACUGGUGGUCAGGAAAGCAGUCCAACUGAAGAAGGAGUCCAUCCAGCCCAGAUAGCAGUAGACUUCGGGGCGGAUCCGCUGUACUGUCACACUCGGUCGGGCCAUGCACACUGGAUCCAGCCCGCCUACGGAUUGCGCUUCAUCAAAGGAAGAACUCCAGCUCUCACUGGACAACGUGAUCUCCAAAACCUGUUCGUAAAAAUGUAUACGGAAAUCUCGAACAUAAAAAAUUCGUAACAAUACAUACGAACUGGCGGUGGUUAACCACGGCCCUUGAGUGAACAACAUGGCGGACCAUGUUGGAUUCUUGAGUGAACGUCUCUCCGCCAUGUUGGAUUUUUUGAGGCUGUACAUCGUUAGACUUCACGAAGUGUGUUUACGGGGUGCAGGUCCCCAUUCACUUUGAAUAGGGUGACGUCAUCAGUUGCAGUCCGUAUUUAUUUAUUUAGUAUGUAUCACUUCGAAUUUGUAUGUUCAAGAUUUUCGUAUACAUUUUUACGAACAGGUUUUGGAGAUCAGGCUGACUAUUCCACUUACACCCGCACUUGCAUGUGAAUAUAUAUAUAUGUGUUUUGUUGGUUUUUGGACUUGUUAGUGUGGAGAAAGAUUACCGUGGAUGCAAACUGUGACCCAUUUCUCAUUUCUACAUAGCUGACCAAUCACAUUUUACAGUGGGUGUAACAUUAGUUGUGAGACAGUAUAUUGUCUCAAAGUUGUCUCAAAGUAUAUUUCACAUUUCACCCAUGGACAUCUCAUUUCAUAGUCGGUUUGCAGCUAUGGGAUUGUUAUAAUUUAGGUGAAUAAAGACUAUGGUGCUUGUUGUAGCAGCUAUGAUAAAAACAAAUUGACACUAGAGUCGGCAGUACAUGGGGAAGAAAUGGAUGAUUUGAGGUUGUAUGCUUUAAGUACUGCUUCAAGCCUUGAGGUUACGGCUGCCCUUGUGUUUAACCCCCCACAAUGUCUAUGGGACCAAAUCACAGCCACAUGGCAGAAAGCCCCCACACCCCAACCUAACCCUCACCCCCGAGUAGUUAACUCUUAAAACACCAUUGGCCUUCAAUUGAUUGGCGGCUUAAACUGUGUUAUCCAGCUACCCACUGGCAGAUCUUUCUUCUGCAACACAUUGAGCUGAAACUAAGCAAAAGACCAGUUCAUACUUUAGUGAAGUAUUGUUGUUGAACAAUAUUCAACAAUCUUAACCAAUUUUAAUCAGAUUAUCAGUCGUCAGACUCUAUAUAUACUCUAUAUAUAAUUCAAUCAAUAUUUAGAGGAUAUUUAUUUGUAACAAAAUGGAGUGGAGUUACAAAUUGAAUCAUGUUGAUAAUAUUUGAUCGAAUAGAGACCCUAACAACAGUGGUCUUAGAGCUGGUUGAAGAAGCUCUAAGAUGGGAAAACAAAUCAAUUUCAGCACACAUCCCAGGUUGACUUAAUGCAAAACAAUUUAGGUAUCUUAAGACACAAUGAAGCAAAAAGCAGUAAAUAACACUGGCAGUCUUAUUUUCCCACCCUCACAAGCAAUUCAGUAUAAAUACUAAUCAGUAUGGUAUAAUAGGUACUCUAUAAAUGUCAAUCGUCUCAUCUGCUUGAUUUGCAACAAAAUCUGUGCUCUUUACUUCCUCCAGAAUGUCAUCCGCUCAUACCAGCCUUGACGAGAAUGCGCAAACUGGGCAAAACCAAUGUUGGCCCAGGCUGUCUAUUUAAGGAUGCUGAUUGGCUAAAUUGUAUGUCACACAUUUAUUUAUUUAAUCGUCUUGGACCAAAAACAAAUAUUGACAUUUUUUAUAAUUUAACAUUAUCUUACCUUGUACUCAUUGCAGCUGCUUUGCGUCCAGUUCCAUUGCCAUAGUUUGGGAGAUGAUGGUAUACCGUUCUCAAGCAUUCUCACCUGACUGGGUUCCUAAGGCAUUCCCGGGCCAAUAUGGAGAUUUAAUCUCCACCUUGUUCUGGGUCUUCCCCAGGGCCUCAUCCCAGCAGGCGAUGCCUGGAAAACCUCCCUAGGAUACCCAAACCACCUCAACUGGUUUCUUAACAUGCAAAGAAGCAGUGGCUCUACACCGAGCUCCUCACAAAUAAGUGAGCUCUCACCCCAAUCUCUGAGGAAACCCAUUUUGGCGAAUUGUAACCGCGACCUCGACCUUUCCUUUAUGACUACAGGUGAGGGUAAGAACAAAUAUUGACACAACAGUGUGGUAAAGCAAGUACGACCCUUCUGCUCCAAUUCUCUGGUCAACUUCCCCCUCCAUCUUCCCCUGGCUCGGGAACAAGACCCAGAGGUACUUUAACUCCUUCAUUUGGGGCACAUUCCCUACCCAGAGCAGGCAAUCCAAAUUCCCGUUUCCUGCUGAAAACAAUGGCCUCAGAUUUAAAGGUGCUGAUCUGCAUCCCGACCACUUGGCUGCAAACCAUCUCCAAAACCUGUGCGUAAAAAUGUAUACGAAAAUCUUGAACAUACAAAUUCGUAGUGAUACAUACUAAAUAAAUACGGACUGCAACUGAUGACGUCACCCUAUUCAAAGUGAACGGGGACCUGCACACCGUAAACACUUUGUGAAGUCUAACGAUGUAAAAUAAACGUUUUAUGAUUGCAUUUUUAACGAGAAAUCCAUCAUCCAACAUGGUCCGCCAUGUUGUUCACUCAAGGGGCGUGGUUAACCACCGCCAGUUCGUAUGUAUUGUUACGAAUUUGUAUGUUCGAGAUUUUCGUAUAUAUUUUUACGAACAGGUUUUGGAGAUCACGUUGGGAAUAGUUUGUUUGUUAACUGCUAUUUAGCAAUGAAAGGUAGGGCUUGAUACUCAAAAUCUCCCUUUAAAAUCUCUCUAUGAACUCAAACAAACAAACUUUGUUGAAAGUUUUAUUUUUCAGACUUUAUUACAACGCUGUCUCUCUGUCUCUUACACAGUAAAUUAUCUUUAAAAUGAUCACUUACACUUUAAAGUUUGAAUUUGAGCAACACACGUCUCUCACUUGUUUAAGACUAAUCAGGGCUAAAACCAAGCAAGUAGCAAAUGUGGGUGUCUACGCCGUCGUUAUGACCGUCCACACUACAAAGGACUCAUUCGUCCUCAAAAGCUUCUUAAACAUAUCUAUAUCUUUAUAUAGAUAGAUAGAUAUUCAUUAAUAUACUGAAUUGUUUGAAUCAGAUGUUAAAACUGGGGUGUUUACUGAAACUGAUUGGCUGGGCCAACCAAAAAAAAUCCACCAGCCGCCACUGUCAUCAGACUAUUAUUUUAUGAACUGAUUCUCUUCAAGAUUAAGACAACCAAAAUGGGGGUCUGCUGCAACAAAAUGCAAUUAUUUUGUCUUUCAAGAGGUGGUCAGUAGAAUGCCUGUGUUGAGUAUUAAGGACCCCUGCCGGGUGGUCCGCGCCUUUCUGCAUUCACGUUAGAGGAGGAGGGUUGGGGGUUGGGAAGGUUGGUUCAGGGCUUUUAGAGAACUCCUCCAGAAUUUCUUGUGGUCGGAUCAUUGUCUCAUAACUGAGGUAGUAUUAGCUCCUUCAUGGGACAACAACUUAUUACUCAAAAGCAAUUUACAAAACAGAAAUAACAUUUCUUUUAAGGCUCGCUGAAAUUAAGAUAAGCAAAUCUGUAUUGUGUGAAAAGAUUGUCUUGGAACUUUGAGCAGAGAAAUCCUUAAUUAAAAGUUAAAUUAAAUUUAUCUAAGUGGCAACUGGAAAAAAGGGCACUGUACUGAAUAGUCUCCUUGACAGCUAACAGGCAGAGACUAAACAAAGAAGGCCAGCAGUGUGCUGGGCUGUGCUCUGGAUAUGGUGGGAGACAGGAGAAUGAUGGCUUUCAUCCCUGGUGAUCAACACCUCCCACCCCAUGCAGGACACCUGGGCUGCUCCGUUACAUUUGUCUUUUCGAUAUUACUUUUGUGAUCAGAUGUGCCAGAUCAUAACUCAACAAUGUCAGUAAAUGUGCGUAUGCCUCAGCGGAUUGAACCAGACCUGUCAGACCCUAACCCUGACUCAAUAACCCCACAUAUGUCAAACAAUAACCCCUUAGGCCACAUAUGUCAGAUCCGGUCCACAGGGGCGUCUAGUGUGGCCCGGUCUGGACGUCACGCCGCCAAAGCCGGUGCGACCCGCUGGAUGACUUUGCUAUUGUGAGAAUUAUAGAACAGUCCUCACGCAUGCACGGUCGCUUCUGCCUCUAUUAUAUCAAUCCGUCACCCCCGUCGUAACGUCCGCCACCCACCCCGUACCGUCGGUGCAGCUGGGGCACCAACGCAGGAUAGAAGAAAUAAAUAAGAAAAGAAAUACUUUCUUAAUCUGUCUCCCAAACUGGAGUUCCUGAAUCAUGUUUCGUUAACCGUAAACACCAGCACCAUGCCUUGUUUGGUUUUCACACCUGUAAAAUGUCUUUUGACAGUUGAAGCUUUAUUUAGGUUAUCUUGGUUAGGUUACCCACUCAUUCAAAUGUAUCAGAGUUAAAACAGCUGUUUGGUGCACAAACAGACCAGCUUGCAUAUUUGAUAACUGUCACUAAAGGCUUUAUCACUUACAGCUGCUGUCACCUGUUUCAGUAACUCUGACAUCACUGUAACGGAUACUGGUUACUAUACCUCCCAUCUACAUUAUUUAAAAACAGCAAACGGCAACUGUCUGUGCUUCUGUCCAAUCAGAUGUGUCCUAGAGAAGCAUUUCUCUGCACAGGUUACCACGCCUUAUGUCCAACUGUAGAAGCUGUUUGUUAUCUUUGGGGCUCACACACAUUGUGCUCACCCAGCUGGACAAGCUUACUGUUGAUAAAGAAGUUCUUGUGAACUGAGGUGGGACAGAAAGUAAAACACGAUAAAACCAACAUGCCUAGCCUGCCAUGGACAACUUAAAGGUCUCGACUAGUUCCUGAUGGUUUAGCUACCUUACAUACCGUUACCAAAGUCUGUGUUCUGUCUUAAGACUAAAGAAAGUAGUUUUGCAAUGUAGUUUACGAGAAUUCUGGUACUGCAGUUGAGGUGUGCAGACUGGCCUUUUCACACUAUCACUAAAAUAGGAAUCUCUAGUUCAGUCGGAAAGCUGCCUCAACUAAAAUCAUUCCCUCGUUUUUUUUUUGUAUGGUCAAAUUGUAAAAAUAACCGAGACUUAUGAAUGAACCCCGUCACAGAGAGACGCUGAUACAUUUGACACACGAAGAAUCAAACUUUUAUUUCAGUUUUUGUGUGACUCAGAGAGAGAGACAGUCAGAGAGAGAGAGAGAGAGGGGAACUUUUCGGAAUGGCCAGCAGACCCAGCGCAAGAUCUGCUCUGAUUGGUUAGCCACUGGGCCAAUAAGAGGCUUCCACUGCAAUUCCAUUCAUGAAAAAUCAGCAUGGAGGGAGAGUGAGCAGGAGGAGGCAAGGAGCGUUGGUUGCGUGUGUGAGUGUGUGUGUGCGUGUGGGUGUAUGUGUGUGUGCGUAUGUGUGGGUGACUGAGUGGUGGUUCCUCUGUGUCUCGCUCGGCAGACAGAAUCUUCACUUCCUUAUUUCAUCACCAUUGUGAAGUGAACAAAAGAGUCAUGCAUUGUAUUUCUCUGAAAGGUUGUGAAUGUAUAAUAUCUUGUGAGAAGAAACCUCAAACCAAAAUACACAAAUAAUAUAAAUAUACAAAUAUUGAUUGUAUAUAUUUGUAUAACUUAAUCUACACUGUACAUGACAACCUACACAGGAGCUCCCGGUGUCUUUCUGCGUACCGUUUUCUUUUCUGGACCACAGCACCCAUUCAACACUAAAUGUGCAUUUAUUUUUUAUUACUUUUGUUUUCAGCCUCCCCAAUAAAACAAGGAGUUAAAUGUAGAAUAGGGAGAAUCACAUAUUUGUCCACUGAGAGUACAGCAUAACGUAUCUUCCAGAAAACGCUUGGAUUAGCAGCUAUCAUCAUUUGGAACGUCUCUGCAUUGGAUGCUGUCUGAGGAUAAGUUCCCCAUGAGGAGAAUCAAUGGGCUUCAUGUGAGAACAUUUUCAUACGUCUUCUAACUUGUCAGUGUGAGAUUUACCACCUCUUCAUGAGGAGGGGAUUUGAUGAUUAGCAUAAACAACACCCCCAAAUAAGUUUUUUGUAUGAGGGGUUGUUGCAAAAUGCACAACAUUAAAUAUCUUCAGCUGAAGUUUUUCAUUGAAUUGUUGUUUCCAGAUGGUUAUUUCCCCAAAUAAACAUCUACAUCAGAUGCGUAUACGUUUUCAUGUUACUUUAACGUGUGCACAGGGAGCCUUUCCAUUUUGUUUUACAGUAUUUAAAAUGCAUUGUGUACAUGACCCAGACAUUUCCAAUGAGCACUAGAAACUGUGGGAAAUUUGAUUUGCUGCUUGUUUUUUCAAGCACUGUCAGAUAGCGUUCCAAUGGCUGGUCCAAAGCAUGAAAGAAUUCCUUUUGGGAAUGUUUAUCGUAAUUAUCUCAGUCUGUUUGGUGGAUUUAGAUUUGUUAUUCUGAAACCAUGGUUGUUUUAUUCUACGUUUGUCAGCUCGCCAAAAAUAAAUAAUGGGUAAUAACCUUAUCUCUGCAACACAAUCCCUUUUCAUUGAUUGCGUGAUGACUAUCGUGUGUGGCGUUUUUGUCUGUUUAUACUCUUCUGCACUGCUUUAGUGUUUCCCUUUAUUUUCUUGUCUGCUAUUUCCAUUCUUAUGCAGGGCGUCUCUUCUGACCAUCCGGUCCAGAGUGUCACCCCCUAAGAAUCCUGUCUGUGUGUGUGUGUGUGUGUGUGUGUGUGUGUGUGUGUGUGUGUGUGUGUGUGUGUGUGCACGUGUGUGUCAGUUCCUGAGUUUCCAGUUUUAUGCUUUGCGCCAACAGCGAGUAACUGGUCGUUCCCCAGAAUGUGACUCAUUGUCUCUGUCUCAUAGAGACAGAAAGCAGGGUCUGUUUGGAGGCAGUUUCCUGCUGAUAUUCAGUUGAGGAUGUGGGAUGUGAGGGUUAACCAGAUAAUAGGAUGGGACAGCAUCUCUGUACCAAGAAAGAUUCUUAUGCGACACCCUAACACCCAAACCCUAACUCAACAAUGACCGCAUUUAUUCUGGAGAAACAAACCAAGAUAGUUUUGAAUUAAAAAUGGAACUGGACAUGGCUUACAGAAUCGUUGUAUACUCCCGGAUCCCUAGCCUUAGAAUUUGACUGUUUCAUAAGAAUCUUAUCCAUAUGGUCCGCUGAAUUACAAAUGUGUUGAGUCAUUUCACCAAAUUAUUUGAAACCAACUAGAACAUGCAUGAUCUCAAUAGGCUCUGCUGAAAAACAUGGAAGCCUGAAUAGCUUUUCCGCGUGUUAGACCUCAUGAACCAACUUCCGUGUGAGGGGAGCACCUUCUCAAACGCGACGUAGUUUGCACAUCCCUUCUCAUUUUUCUAAAACUGGUAAAUGAAGGGCAUUGUUUUUUUGAACAUACUGUAUCUUGUUCGCCUUCAAUGACGUUCUCCAGCUCUGCGUAAAUAAGCCUGAGAUCUGUGUGGAGAUCAUACAGGACAGAUGGAGCCGUCUCGGGCUGUGUGGCUGUUGCCACUGUAUAGGGGUGGAGGUGUGGGGGCAGCCGGUGGAGCUCGUCGGUGUCUGGACAGUCCUCGGAGCUGCUUGUUUUGACCCUCCAGAGUCUUUGUUGGGGUCCCACAGAGGAUGGUAGUGUGGGGGUUAGGCUGCACCCCACCUUUUUAUCUAGCCUGCUCUGAGCUGUCCAAGUCUCGGUGACCUCCAAACCAGACCAUCAGAAUGUCCCAGGCAGCCACAGGGGGGCUAUUGUUCUUCAAAGUAGGUCAAGGACUGCAGCUAUCACAAUCAAUUUGGACUGAUUGGAGAACAGUGGGAACGGAGACGAAGAGACACGCCCAGCAAGGCUGAUCACACUUGUUGAUAUAAACCAAAGGAACAGCAACUAAUGAGAGCAUUCUUUCUGUUUCAUCACCCUCUUUCUCAUCCUCAUCUCACCAAACGUGUCCAGUCUCCUCAUCCUCCUCAUCUUUGUUCUUAGAACAGUCCUUCGCUUCCCCUUUUCCCCUAACGCUCCCUCUGCACUACUCAUUUUGCAUAGUGUAAUUAGUCAUGUGGAACAUACCAAGCGUCACAUUACAUAACCCAACAGCAGGUGCACUCAGGCUCAACCCAAGAUAAUGCAGAUCAGGGGCCACAUUACUUUGGCAUGGCAGAUCUGAAGCGUAUAGCUGCAUCAUAGCAAACGUUAUUAGUUCUAUGUCUCGUCCUGAACAAUGAGUUGCUGCCGCUGGCCUCUUCCUUUCUUCAAACUAACAAUGAAACAAUUGCUAUAUUCAUACACUACUGCUGCUCAGUCUGACAUGCUCAUGUAUUAUUGUCUCAGGUUUGAUUAGGUGCAAAAGGAUGUGAUGUUUUUUAAAACUACACUUAAAUAUUUCAUUGUUAAUUUCCUUGUUGUAUUUCUAAAGUUUUCUUAUGGAUAAUGCAUAGCCCGAAUCCUAUCCCCAGUAAAGUGAUAGCCUUUUCAUUUGGGUGCACUGUAUCAAAUACAAUACAUUUGUAUGAAGACGUAAAAGCUUUGCCUUCAAAUUCUUACUUAAAGUCACAUAACUAAAUUUGGGGAAAUAGACCUAUUUGCCUCCUUGUGAGAGUAGGACUAUCAAUACCCCUGUCUGUACAGUCAAUAUACUAUCUACUAAUUAUAAUUAUCAUUAUUAUCCCAUAUACAUCAUGUUCUCAAAGAUGUUUUUAAAAAACAGCUUUAAGGUAUGUUAUGGAGUCAGAGGAGACCAGAAGUCCUAGAAGAAGAAUCAGGUCAUUGAGGACCAUGUCUGGAAGUUUAUCCUGUGUUUCAGCAGGAGCCAGAAGAGGUCACACAGGGCUGGAGUUACAUGAUUUAUUGAGUGGGUACUGGUCAGAAGGUGGGCUGCAGAGUUUUGAGUAUAUGGAAUUUUUUGUGUUUCUUAGAAAGGAACAGUAAAAGUCGGUGUAGGGCAAUGUCACUGAGGUAAUGUAGUGGACAUGGGAAAUGAACACGAGGGUGGGGUCAAGGAGGCCUCAAAGGUGGCCCAUUGGAGUGUAGUGGGGUAACAAUGAAGCCACCUAUCAGCGUGGUUACAUGGAUUCGAAUAACUGGCUUAGUCGGACUGAAAUCGCAUUAUCCGUUUCAUGUAAACACCUUUGUCCGACUAUGUUCGGUCCGACUACGAUCCGACUAACACCCCUGGAUAACUCGAUCCAAUCCAGUUGAUAGUUUGACUAUUGCGGCAUGUAACGGUGAAUCGGAUAAGGAACUGGACUUUGCGUCUUUGCGCCUGCUUGAGAUCCCGACGGCGUCUUCUCUCCGUUAUCAAAUCAGCCAAAAGCGCCAUUCGCAUUCGCUGUGCUCCUAAUAACAUCAUGCACAGAUAGUAGAGGGUUGUAGCUUCACCUUGCUCUCCGUUCGCCAUCUUUCUCCUAAUGUUGAUGUUGUUGUUGUUGGUAGUGGUGAAGCGGUCAAGCGGAAAUGGCUGUAUUACAACUGGUUGUAAUGAAAACAGCGCCACCUAUCGUAUCGGACAUGACAUGCUUUCGGCCAAUGAUUUGAUUCAUUCACUGCCAUGUAUAUUGGGAUAAUAGCACUUGCCCCGAAAGACAGCAUAGUCCGACUAAGCAAAGAUUCAUUUAUACCAAUUAUACCGUCAUGUAAACACACUGAGUGUUGAGUGCAAGAUCCUGUGAGGUGGGGAAGGAGCCUAGGGAAAAAUGAAUAUGAAGCCAUAGCCACCAUUCAGUUAGCCGAGCUUAGCGGAAAGAUUGGAAGCAGGUAAAACUGAGAAUUUGUACGACCACAUUAACAGGUGAGCUUUAUAUGUGCUGGCCUAGUGUUUUCUUUCGAAGCAGAUAAAUAAUCCUUCUGUAUUUCCCUUGCUUCCAGUAUUAAUGCUAAGCUAACUAUUGGCUCUGGCUAUACCUUCACAUUUACGGAAUUAUAGUCAUUCUUGUCAUCUAACUCUCAGCAAGAAGAUAAUUGGCAUGUUUUCUAUAUUUUAUAAAAGUUUUGAGUUUUGGGUUUGUUUUGAAAAUGUGGUUUCAUUAUGUAGCAAAAUGACCAAUUUCUGUAAGAUUUCAUUGUUUGAUCAUCAUAUUGAUGCAUUGAAAUGUAAGCAGCACUGUAAAGUUGUAACUCCUGGACAGGGCACACAUUGUAACCAUACGAAUUAAUCCUAUAUAAUAUACCUGUGGUGGAUUAAUCCAUAGUAAUGUAUCAGAUCCUAUAAAGUCACAUGUUGUAUGAAAUAUUCAUACCCGCAGAGUAAAGAAUAACUUGUAGCAGCAUGCUAUAAAGAAACAUGAAAUGUAAGAAGUCCUUUUCGUUGGAUGAAAGUACAGUACUUUUGUACAUGUACUUAGUCACAUCCCUGUGGUUUUUCUUACUUUUGCAUUGUUUUUGUUACAAUAAAUAUACUUCCUUAGCGAUCUGCCUCUAUCUGUAUCUAUUUGUUCAGAUAUUAAUGACUUCUAAAACAGAGCCCAUGUGCCCAUAUGUGUUUCCUCCUAUAUAUAUAUCCUAUAUUUAUACUAUUCAUUAUGUAGCAAGUUGAUCCAAGCCACCCGUAGAUACAUGUUGUGUUUGCAAAAGGCACAAGAGUUUUUGUAGUCUGCAGCUGAACAUCUGAACACAGACCAUCUGUGCAUGUAUAAGAAACAAUGCUGCAGCUUAACACUCCCACGCCUGGUAUUUGCUGAAGGGAACCUUAAAGGAGAAACAAGGCAGGGCCACCGUUUCCCAGUCCAAACAUUUGGUAAUGAACAUACAGUAGUGACUGGCCGGACUAGAAUUAGCUCUGUCACCUCUUUGUGUCUUAGCUAAAACCAUAAUCAUGGACUAUUGGGUUCAUUAGCCGUGUAUUAUUCUAAGGGCUGGGAUAAUCCUGUGAGUGCUUUUUCCUGGCCGCUGCCACCAUAUGGGCCAGAAUAUACCAGCACAACGGCUCAUCCGAUGGCCAAACUCAACACACAAUUGGCUCAGGUGUAAUGUAAUGACCUUAAGUCUGCUGAUUAAGUAGUAAUCUGAGAAUCUUUUUCUUUUGUUAUUUGUCACUAACGUCGAUGUUGAAUACGGAAGCCCGAGAUCAAAAAUGUUCUUGUUAUCUUACAAUACUUACAAAAAAAGUAUUUACUUUUGUAAAUACACAGGAUUUUAGGAGAUAACUUUUUACAAACACAAUGUAAUUUUCUCAGGUGAAACAUCAUAAACAGCAUGUCAUGUGUAAUGGCUUUGCAAUUAUGCGUGUUGUUACUUUUAACAGCUGAACAAAAAACAUAACUAUUUGCUAUAUGAGUCGAGAUCUUGAGAUAACCCUGUCUUUUUGAUGUUAAGGCUGGUCUCAUCCAGCAUUCGGUGUACCUAACAAGAAAAAAUACACAGUACUUUGUUGAUCCAUAUCAACUUAAUGAUGAACAAAGUAUUAGGAACACAAAAGUCCACUCAGGGUAUGUGGGGGACAUACUGGGUGACUCCAACAUGUAUUGGACCCACGUUAAACAGGAACGGCACUAACAUGUUCCAACCCAAACCAUAAUCAACCUAAUCCUAUAGUGUCACUCAUUCUAAAUGUAUUAGUUACAGUAUAUCAUCAGCUACACAAUCGGGGCGACUGUGGGUGAGUGGGGAGCACGGUCGUCUUCCAAUCAGAGGGUUGUCGGUUUGAUCCCUGGCUCUGCUAACCCGCAUGUCCAUGUGUCCAACAACGUUGCUCCUGUAGCUGCGACUACAGUGUAUGAAUGUCAGUUACUGAUGGCAGGUGUCACUGUGUGUGGUUCUCCUGUCAUCAGUGAAUGAAUGAUGUAAUGUAGUGUUAAAGCACUUUGAGUGGUCAGAAGACUAGAAAAGCAGUAUACAAGUACAGUCCAUUUACACAAUAGCAGCACCUCAGGAAUACUCCUGGGCCAGACAGCGGAUUCCUUAAGAAGCGUUUAACAGUAGUACCUCUGCUAAAUUAUCGGCUUCACGUGUGUCUUCGGCCUGUAUUUUACAUGUGGUUUGGCUCAGGUGAGGUUUAGUAGUAGCAAGAAAACAGUCACAUCAAACAAAGUACUGGCGUCAAAUGUAAUGCUUUUUGGCAACGAUUUAACUGUGGGGAACCUCUCUUACCUUUGCUUUUCUAGAAUGUCCAUUAUGAGAAGAUGACAAGUCAAACUGGCUGUCAGUUUUUCUCGUCUAUUCAAUUUUACCAAAAAUGUGUUGAUUGUCAUCCCCAGUGUCAUUUAUGAUAAAGUUGUUAUCUAUUCCGAUCUUAUCAAACUCUCUUACAUAUCAUAUAACAUAUCUCAUUCCACGCUGUAUUGACUGCUGUCGUUUCAUUCACUCACUUUACCUUUCUGAUAAUAUCUGUUUGUAACUAUUUAUUUGAAUUGAUUACAAUAUUAUUUUGUGUGUAUUAGCCCCCCGUUUUCUGUGUGACAUGGGGUGUUUCUGUCUUGCUUGGCUCUGCUGUUUGUAUCAGUGAGGCUAUUCUCUGGUUAAAUAAAGAUAAUAAACAGAAACAUUGAUAGAGGUGUGAUAAUCAAUACAUACAGCAUCUGUCGUCAAAGACUUGACCGACUGUCGGGGGUUAACUUAAAUAAUUACAUUGAAGGGAGGAAGAUCAUCCAGCCUCACAUUACAUCCUCUGAUAGGGCUAAUUAAAUUCCGUGGCCUAUGUGUCCUAUGCUUUGUUUAAUCUGUGUGAGGUAUUAACCCGAUCUGAUGGGUUCCUGCUUGCGUUUUGUGUUGAUUAAAGUGUGUGAACGUACUGUGUAAUCGUGUGUCAGCAGGGUGUGUAUGACUCGUUCUAUAGGAGCUGUUGAUUUGUAGCUGACUUCAAAUGAGAAAUCUACUCACGUGAUUAACAGUUAUCUCUGCCAAUAAGAGCCUUUUCUACUCUAUGUUGUUUUAUGACAAUAUAUGGUCAUUAUUAUAGGAGUUUUCUCAUAACAGCCCCGUUUCCUACAGCCAUUGUUUGACUGAUGGGGUUAUGUGAUUUAACAUUGAAUUGAUUAACCAAAUACAUAGAUAAAAAUAAACAAACAAAAAGAAACAUUCUUCUUCUUAUUCUGUCUUAUUUUGUUUUUUAAAGACCAUCAAAUAACAAGAAGAUAUAAACUUCCUUAUCUUUCUUGUUGCUCUCAUGAUGACAAUUCAUAAGACAUCUGUUUUUAUCUCCAAAGGUUUUCUCUACACUAACUGAUGUAAUUAAAUGGGAACCUGCUGGUAACAACCUAAACGCCAACAGUGUGUCUCAAGUCAGUAACUGCUGUGCAUUCAUUUGUAGAGUCAUCAAAUAUUUGAUAGACAAGAAGACUGAACUGAGACCUGGAGUGCUUUGGAACAAGAAAGGCAAGAAAAAAAAAGAGAUUCACAUGUUAUAAAAAGGACAGCUUCGCACCUGAAAAAUCAGUUUUUAUUGGUACCUAAAAGUUGAAUUUAAUUCAUUUUCUUUUGUUGCUGCCCCCAUAUCACAAAUUACACAUUUUCUUUAUAGGCUUUACAGUGUACAAUGCAAGAUCCUCUGUCCCAAAAGUCAGAUACAACCAUAAUCAGAUACAACCACCAUGAGAUACAACCACCAUCAGACACAACCACCAUCAGACACAACCACAAUCAGACACAACCACAAUCAGAUAUCACCACCAUCAGAUAUCACCACCAUCAGAUAUCACCACCAUCAGAUACAACCACCAUCAGACACAACCACAAUCAGAUAUCACCACCAUCAGAUACAACCACUAUCAGAUACAACCACCAUCAGACACAACCACCAUCAGACACAACCACCAUCAGACACAACCACAAUCAGAUAUCAACACCAUCAGAUAUCACCACCAUCAGAUACAACCACCAUCAGAUAUCACCACCAUCAGAUAUCACCACCAUCAGAUAUCACCACCAUCAGAUACAACCACCAUCAGAUAUCACCACCAUCAGAUAUAACCACCAUCAGAUACAACCACCAUCAGAUAUAACCACCAUCAGACACAACCACCAUCAGACACAACCACAAUCAGACACAACCACAAUCAGAUAUCACCACCAUCAGAUACAACCACCAUCAGACACAACCACCAUCAGACACAACCACCAUCAGACACAACCACAAUCAG
ensembl:lncRNA